AGAACUUAGCAGAGAUGCUUUGGUGCCUUCGGGAACUCUGAGACAGGUGCUGCAUGGCUGUCGUCAGCUCGUGUUGUGAAAUGUUGGUUAAGUCCCGCAACGAGCGCAACCCUUAUCCUUUGUUGCCAGCGGUCCGGCCGGGAACUCAAAGGAGACUGCCAGUGAUAAACUGGAGGAAGGUGGGGAUGACGUCAAGUCAUCAUGGCCCUUACGAGUAGGGCUACACACGUGCUACAAUGGCGCAUACAAAGAGAAGCGACCUCGCGAGAGCAAGCGGACCUCAUAAAGUGCGUCGUAGUCCGGAUUGGAGUCUGCAACUCGACUCCAUGAAGUCGGAAUCGCUAGUAAUCGUGGAUCAGAAUGCCACGGUGAAUACGUUCCCGGGCCUUGUACACACCGCCCGUCACACCAUGGGAGUGGGUUGCAAAAGAAGUAGGUAGCUUAACCUUCGGGAGGGCGCUUACCACUUUGUGAUUCAUGACUGGGGUGAAGUCGUAACAAGGUAGGCGUAGUGCU
rnacentral:rRNA from 1 species